GGGUAAGUCCUAUACAACUUCAGUCUACUUAACCAUGUCAGGUCCGGAAGGAAGCAGCAUCCAGUAGUACAGGAGUGUGAUAUAGUGCCGCUUACCCCUU
rnacentral:SRP_RNA from 1 species